rnacentral:lncRNA from 10 species
UUUUUCUUUCUUUUUUUUUCUCUGAGACAGAGUGUUGCUCUGUCGCCCAGGCUGGAGUGCAGUGGUGUGAUCUUGGCUCACUGCAACCUCUGCCUCCUGGGUGGUCUGCCUGCCUCAGCCUCCCAAAGUGUUGGGAUUACAGGCGUGAGCCACUGGGCCCUGCCUGUAUUUUUUAUCAGCCACAAAUCCAGCAACAAGCUGAGGAUUCAGCUCAUAAAACAGGCUUGGUGUCUUGGUGAUCUCACAUAACCAAGAUGCUACCCCGUGGGGAACCACAUCCCCCUGGAUGCCCUCCAGCCUUGGUUUGGGCUGGAGUCAGGGCCUGUAUACAGUAUUUUGAAUUUGUAUGCCACUGGUUUGCAUUGCUGGUCAGGAACUCUAGUGCUUUGCAUAGCCCUGGUUUAGAAACAUGUUAUAGCAGUUCUUGGUAUAGAGCAAACUAGAAGAACCAGCAAUCAUUCCACUGUCCUGCCAAGGUACACCUCAGUACUCCCCUUCCCAACUGAAGUGGUAUGAGGCUAGCUCUUUCCAAAAGCAUUCAAGUUUGGCUUCUGAUGUGACUCAGAAUUUAGGAACCAGAUGCUAGAUCAAAUAAGCUCUGAAAAUCUGAGGAACAUUGUAGGAAAGGUUUGUUAAGCAUCUCUUAAGUGCCAUGAUGAGCAUAACAGCCGGCCGUCGUGGCUCACGCCUGUAAUCCCAGCACUUUGGGAGGCCAAGGUGGGAGGAUGACAAGGUCAGGAGUUCAAGACCAGCCUGGCCAACAUGCUGAAACCUCACCUCUACUAAAAAUACAAAAAUUAGCUGGGCAUGGUGGCACAUGCCUGUAAUCCCAGCUACUUGGGAGGCUGAGGCAGGAGAAUCGCUUGAACCCGGGAGGCGGAGGUUGCAGUGAGCCAAGACAGUGCCAGUGCACUCCAGCCUCGGUGACAGCGCAAGGCUCCGUCUCAAUAAUUAAAAAAAAAAAAAAAAAAAAAAAGGCCGGGCGCAGUGGCUCAAGCCUGUAAUCCCAGCACUUUGGGAGGCUGAGGCGGGCAGAUCACCUGAGGUCAGGAGUUUUGAGAUCAGCCUUGGCAACACGGUGAAACCCCAUCUCUACUAAAAAUACAAAAUUAGCCAAGCAUGCUGGCACAUGCCUGUAAUCCCAGCUACUCGGGAGGCUGAGGUACGAGAAUCGCUUGAACCUGGGAGGCAGAGGAUGCAGUGAGCCGAGAUCACGCCAUUGCACUCCAGCCUGGGGGACAAGAGUGAAUCUGUGUCUCACCAAAAAAAAAAAGAAAAAGAAAGAUGCUUAACAAAGGUUACCAUAAGCCACAAAUUCAUAACCACUUAUCCUUCCAGUUUCAAGUAGAAUAUAUUCAUAACCUCAAUAAAGUUCUCCCUGCUCC